rnacentral:rRNA from 1 species
GAUGAACGCUGGCGGCGUGCCUAAUACAUGCAAGUCGAGCGAACGUACGAGAAGCUUGCUUCUCUGAUGUUAGCGGCGGACGGGUGAGUAACACGUGGAUAACCUACCUAUAAGACUGGGAUAACUUCGUGAAACCGGAGCUAAUACCGGGUGAUAUUUUGAGCCGCAUGGUUCAAAAGUGAAAGACGGUCUUUCUGUCACUGGUAGAUGGAUCCGCGCUGCAUUAGCUAGUUGGUAAGGUAACGGCUUACCAAGGCAACGAUGCAUAGCCGACCUGAGAGGGGGAUGGGCCACCGGGGACAUGAGAACGGGGCCAGACCCCAAAGGGAGGCAGGAGGCGGGAAUCUGGCGAAUUGGGCGAAAGCCGGAGGGCGAAAGCCGGGGGGAGGGAGGAGGGUUGGAGGCCCGUAAAUUGUUGUUUUUAGGCAAGAAAAUACGAGUAACGAAGUGGGCCGUUUUGGGGGGAACCGAAAAAGAAGGCCCGGCUAACUACGGG